rnacentral:rRNA from 1 species
AUUGAACGCUGGCGGCAGGCCUAACACAUGCAAGUCGAGCGGAUGAAGGGAGCUUGCUCCUGGAUUCAGCGGCGGACGGGUGAGUAAUGCCUAGGAGUCUGCCUGGUAGUGGGGGAUAACGUCCGGAAACGGGCGCUAACACCGCAUACGUCCUGAGGGAGAAAGUGGGGGAUCUUCGGACCUCACGCUAUCAGAUGAGCCUAGGUCGGAUUAGCUAGUUGGUGGGGUAAAGGCCUACCAAGGCGACGAUCCGUAACUGGUCUGAGAGGAUGAUCAGUCACACUGGAACUGAGACACGGUCCAGACUCCUACGGGAGGCAGCAGUGGGGAAUAUUGGACAAUGGGCGAAAGCCUGAUCCAGCCAUGCCGCGUGUGUGAAGAAGGUCUUCGGAUUGUAAAGCACUUUAAGUUGGGAGGAAGGGCAGUAAGUUAAUACCUUGCUGUUUUGACGUUACCAACAGAAUAAGCACCGGCUAACUUCGUG